rnacentral:rRNA from 1 species
UACGUAGGGUGCAAGCGUUGUCCGGAAUUAUUGGGCGUAAAGAGCUCGUAGGCGGUCUGUCGCGUCUGCUGUGAAAACUCAGGGCUUAACCCUGAGCUUGCAGUGGGUACGGGCAGACUAGAGUGCGGUAGGGGAGACUGGAAUUCCUGGUGUAGCGGUGAAAUGCGCAGAUAUCAGGGAGGAACACCGGUGGCGAAGGCGGGUCUCUGGGC